AUAUUCAUUUCAACAACGAUGCUGUUUCGGAAAUUCUGACUCGAGGGAAAAUUAAGAACGUCAGAUAAGUUAACACGAAAGUUAUGAAGUUGUGAAUGACUGACACUUGAAGAAUGUAGAUCGCUUUUCGUAUAACAGUAAUUUCACAAAGUUCUCUCCUUCCGAACUCAAACAAUAUUUAUGUUGUGCUAUACUAAAAACCAACAGUUAUCUGAUUAGCUAUGUCCAAAUCAUCGAAAAGCUGAUUAAUUAAAUUUGGUUGAAGCCUCUCCCGCAUUAAACUACCGAAUUCAUAUCCUUAAGCAUUGGCCAUAAACACAAGCACAUUUCGGUAAUAUAUUUUUCACACAGAGCCAAAUGGCCAAAUAAUCAAGACUCUAUCUUGAUGAAGUCUGGUUUGUGUAGCUGCAUAGACGUCUAUUUCAGCUUGGGUCAAGCCAAAAUGCUAUUGAAAAUCGGCCAGUCCCUAUGCGACUAAUGUCGAAGAUGAAGAUGAAAGCAAAAUUAAAGUAUAUUUGUUUGGCCGCAAGGUACACAAUAUUUUUGCAGUCGUUUUAUUUUAUUCGUUUAAGUAAAAACGAAACGAAAUUGCAGCUAUCCCAAUUAUAAUGUUUUCCUUCACCAGUGUUGUAAACGUGAGGUGGUGGGCCACUCACGUUUUGCCUAUAUAUUCACUUUGGCAUAUUGGGUUUAUAUUGAUUUUGUUGUUUUAACCUGAAUCGAUGCUGAAUUUCAAUUUUUUUU